rnacentral:rRNA from 1 species
UUGAAUUGAAGAGUUUGAUCAUGGCUCAGAUUGAACGCUGGCGGCAGGCUUAACACAUGCAAGUCGAACGGUAACAUAGAGAAGCUUGCUUCUUUGAUGACGAGUGGCGGACGGGUGAGUAAUGCUUGGGAAUCUGGCUUAUGGAGGGGGAUAACUACGGGAAACUGUAGCUAAUACCGCGUAAUAUCGAAAGAUUAAAGUGUGGGACCUUCG